UUCCCUGGCCCAACUGAAGAAAAUACUCCCUUCCACCGUCGGCCUCCUUCUCAAAAGAAUUCCCCCAAUUCAGUGUCUCAAAUCCCAAAUUUUGAAGAGGAAAUCCCUUGGCUCCACCCCUUCUCUCUUUCUUCGUUCGACAUCGCAGCCCAUCACCACCACCUCUAUCUCCGGCGAGGGAGAUCGGCAUCAACGAGAUCUUUCUCCUUCUCUCGGCGGCAUCGCUGCUGUCGCAACACCAAAUCGCCGCCGCCUCUACACCGGAUUCGGCGAGUCGCUGCCGCUGCAAUGUUCGCGGUGGUGGAGACGCUGAUCGUGCCGUCCGUCGCCGUCGCUACUUUGGUCGGGAGUUCUCUCUUCCUUCGGAGUUACCGCGUCGCUGGCCAGUCUGCCAGCUCACGUGGGAGCAGCUCAUUCGCCGGCAAUGGCAGCAUCGCCACUGGACGUCGGUCCCUGCCUUCUUUCCGGUGCCGCCGCACAACACCGAGUUCGGACAGUCCAGCUGCCGCUGCCCGGUAGCGGCUCCGUCGCCAUCUCCGUCAGUUCUCUGGGGCUCUGUCGCCUAAGCUAAGUCCCCCUUCCUAGCUUAUACUAGUUCUUGAGAGUUUACUGAAGCGAGUUAUAGUGUAUGGAGCUACUUGGCAAAUCUUUGUGAUGUUGCUGUAGUAAACCUUUAAGUUCUAUCUUAAGUGAUUUGUUAGAUUCGACAUUAGUUCUAUGAGUUCUGCUCUAUGCUUUGCUAUCUCCCUCAAUCUUAAGGCAUGUUCUACUGUGAUGCAAAGUGGUGUCGUGGAAGUUUCCUGUUGUGGAGCUGGAGCUGUGGACUCCUUCCUUUGUCGCCUAGUUCUCGGCUUGCCUUUGCAGGCUGACUGAGGUUCUUGCUUCUCGAUGAAACAGAAUAAUCUUUCCUAGACAUCUUCUUACUUUCACUCUCUCCUUCUCCUCCAUCCUUUGUCUACUGAUUGUGAAGUGGAUUUGUGGUGAAUGGGGGUAUAUAAAUGGAAGCUGUACCUUGUAGUUUGUUGAGAUUUAGCAGAAUCAAGUCUGCAAGUUCUUUGUCUUUUGUUGAACUGAUUGGCUGUUUCUUUUGGAGGUAGUGCAAGGGUGUACUCGUGGGUUUAAAUGGAGCCGUUAUACUACUUUGUUUUCUUCUUGCAGCAGCCCCUUUUUCCUUUGAUGUUACAGCAAUUUAACUGAAGUGUUGGUAGUGAGUUUGCAGGUGUACAACAAAGGUGGAGAAAAAGGUUUGGCUGUGCCCUGCAGGCCGUUGCAGGCUGCACUGCCUCGCGGCAGCCUUCGGCUCAGGCUGUGAGUGUAGGAGGCUGUUACACUGCCUCUUUUGGCAAGGCUGAUUUGUUCACUGAGUCGAGAAGGGGACCGGCCAUGGUUCGCUCGUUCCUACAGAAGGCCGGACCGUGGCCUUGGGCGUAAAGAGGAAAUUCACAAGUGCGUGCCACCGGGCACUCGGUUCUUUAAAUUCUUAGGCAACAUUUGGAUACCCUUUGUAAUAGCAUCCGAGUUCUCUUUCUUUUUCUUUGUUUCAACGCAUGUAACGUUUAGUAUAGUUGUCGGAUUUCAUUUCCUUAAAUUUCAUCGUCAAGCAUUUGUAAAUUAGACUUAGCUUGAAACUAGUACAUUCUGCUUACUUAAGAAAUAAACGAAUACUCUCUCGUUUUUCCUCUA